UACGAAGGGGGCUAGCGUUGCUCGGAAUCACUGGGCGUAAAGCGCACGUAGGCGGACUCUUAAGUCGGUGGUGAAAUCCUGGAGCUCAACUCCAGAACUGCCUUCGAGACUGAAUAGCUAGGGCGCGGAAGAGGGAAGCGGAAUUUCCGGUGUAGCGGUGAAAUGCGUAGAUAUCUGGAGGAACACCGGUGGCGAAGGCGGCAUCCUGGACCGACACUGACGCUGAGGCGCGAAAGCUAGGGGAGCAAACGGG
rnacentral:rRNA from 1 species